ensembl:lncRNA
CGGGACAGGUAAAGGACAGGUCAAGGACAGGCAGGGGUCAUGGUCAGGGCAGAGUCCGUAAGGUGCAGAGCAGCAGGCAGGGGUCAUGGUCAGGGCAGAGUCCGUAAGGUACAGAGCAGCAGGCAGGGGUCAUGGUCAGGGCAGAGUCCGCAAGGUGCAGAGCAGCAGGCAGGGGUCAUGGUCAGGGCAGAGUCCGUAAGGUACAGAGCAGCAGGCAGGGGUCAGUAGUCCAGGGCAGAGUCCGUAAGGUACAGAGCAGCAGGCAGGGGUCAGUAGUCCAGGGCAGAGUCCGUAAGGUACAGAGCAGCAGGCAGAGGUCAUGGUCAGGGCAGAGUCCGUAAGGUACAGAGCAGCAG